UCCUAUAAUAACCUAUAAUAAUAAUAAUCCUACAUUAAUAAACAUAACAAUAAUAAUCCUAUAAUAAUAAUAAUCCUAUCAUAAAUAUAAUGCUAUAAUAAUAAUAAUCCUAUCAUAAUAAUAAUAAUCCUAUAAUAAUAAUAAUCUUAUAAUAAUAAUAAUCCUAUCAUAAUAAUAAUCAUAUAAUAAUAAUACUCAUAUAAUAUUCUAUAAUAAUAAUCCUAUAAUAUCUCACCUCGAACAACAUUUACUUAGUUUUCUUUCACAAGCUAAGUUGUUUUUCAAUGUUUGAGUUUUCUUCAACUGCUAGCGAAUUGGCUACUAAUCAGAUUCUCUAUCUAACAGACAGGACUAGAGCUAGCGGCUUGAGUGCCCUGGUUGCCAGGGUAACCUCCUGCCCUUAAAAGGUCGACAUCUGAACAUUUUAAUCUCAGCUGUGAUAUUUUGAUUAAAAGACUCAGGUCACAAAAAAAUGAAAUAACAUUGAGCAAAAUACCACAUCAAUUCUCACUACUGAUACAUUUAUUAUUUUAGAAACAUUACAAAGCAUGCUCAUCCGGUUUAUUUUAGUUUUAUAGUGAACAAAUAUUUUGGCUGGUAAAAAAAAUCUGAGUGGGUAAAAGUUAGUUUCAGGCCCUGAUCCAAAUGCUUAAAUUAUUUAGCUACUGGGAAACGAGGCCCUGAUCUCUGGACAGGGUCUUCAAAGGGGACAUACAGACACUGUACCAAUUUAACCACAGUCCCAUAUUCCAUCUUCCUCCCUAGGGGAACACAUCUCACAGUGUCACUGGUCUGAUAAUUCUUCGUCUCCCUGACAUCUUGACUCCAUCACUCACAUCACAAGACGUUAUUCACUCUCUCAGAACAGCUCCUCUCACCCCUCCCCUUCCUGUCACAAUCACAGUCCUUUUUCUGCUGAUGUUUACGUCUGAAACGUUUGAAAAGCAAAGCGGGUGUCGUCUCCCCGUCUGUCCCCGCCUGCCGAUAUCCCAGCUGCUUGCCUUCGCCGAACCUUCCCUGAUAAUUGGGAGAUUAUGAUGCAGGAGCCGGGGAAUCGGAGCGUAAACACUGUUUUGCUAUGAUCCGAUUAAUCAUUUCCAAUUGAAGAUGCACAGGAGUAAUUGCAAAGCCACCGAUACCCCUGCUGUCAAAGCUAUGAUGAGCCUUCAGCAACGUUUUCAUGAUGAGCCGAGGGCAAAAAAAUAAAGCAAUGUGAUAAAGUUUCAAGAGAUGUAAGCGAGCUUACUGUAGAGUACCUGUGGUGAUGUGAUGUGACAUGUUAUGUCUUAUCCAAGGGAGAGAAAACCUCUGUCAAGCAAUGGAUGGAUUUGUUUCGUCAGUUGUAUACAGAUGAGUUGAGUUUCUUGAAGAGGAGAGUAGACCAACAGAGCAGGAGGUGACUAGUCCAGUUAUUGAGUGGGCCUAGACUCUAGCGUCCAGGUUCAUUGAUAAUGUCCUAGCGUCCAGGUUCAUUGAUCAUGUCCUAGCGUCCAGGUUCAUUGAUCAUGUCCUAGCGUCCUGGUUCAUUGAUAAUGUCCGAGCAUCCAGGUUCAUUGAUAAUGUCCGAGCGUCCAGGUUCAUUGAUAAUGUCCGAGCGUCCAGGUUCAUUGAUAGUACAGAUUGACCAGCUGAGUAGUCAUUAUUCUAGUUUCUAUCAGCAAGCAUGGUGACUGGUGAGUCAUUGCCAGUUCCUAUAACAUCUCUGCAGGUCAGUCCAAAAGAGAGUGGCAACCAACCGACUUGAUGCUUGGGUUCUGACAACCAAGAGUAGACUUUGCUGUCGCAGAAGAACACCGUGUGACACGACAUCAUCUGUUGGUCAAUGCAACAUCGAUGUUCUGUUCUGUGCGACUUGAUGCUUGGGUUCUGACACUGGGAAAAAAAACACAGGUGCUUCCUAGCACCAUGAGUCUCCAUGGAAACACAUCCUGUGGCCCCUCGCUACAUUGAUGGAUCCGACACUUAAUUUCUACCUUUCACUGACAGAUCUAGGUUGACGUGAGCAAAGUGACUGGCCCUUACGACAUUCACAGGGAGAACAGACUGUAACACAACCAGUGUCAUUUCAGAACAUAUUUUUGUUUUAGUAUGUCCAUGUAGAGUUGGUUCAGGGCCUUGAGAGGUGGUUUGAAGGUUACACCCUCUCGUUACAGUAUCAGUCUGUCUGGUGUAGAAACCACUCUGUCAUUACAGUAUCAGUCUGUCUGGUGUAGAAACCACUCUGUGUUCUACAGUCAUCUUCAGAGAUAUUAUCUACAGUGAUCUGUGUUCUAGAGUCAUCGUCAGAGAUAUUAUCUACAGUGAUCUGUGUUCUACAGUCAUCGUCAGAGAUAUUAUCUAUAGUGAUCUGUGUUCUAGAGUCAUCUUCAGAGAUAUUAUCUACAGUGAUCUGUGUUCUAGAGUCAUCUUCAGAGAUAUUAUCUACAGUGAUCUGUGUUCUAGAGUCAUCUUCAGAGAUAUUAUCUACAGUGAUCUGUGUUCUAGAGUCAUCUUCAGAGAUAUUAUCUACAGUGAUCUGUGUUCUAGAGUCAUCUUCAGAGAUAUUAUCUACAGUGAUCUGUGGAAUCUAGGACGGCUCAUUCAUAAAAUACUAUGUUUGAUUUAUUGGUGUCAAAAACAAGAGAUAUGCUUUGGAUUGCUGAUUUAGCCAAUGAACACACACACACACACACACAAACACACACACACACACACACACACACACACACACACACACACACACACACACACACACACACACACACACACA
ensembl:lncRNA